rnacentral:tRNA from 1 species
UUUCAGAUAGCUUAAUUAAGAGCAUGACAUUGAAGAUGUCAGGGUAACUUUAUGUUUUUGAGUA